rnacentral:rRNA from 1 species
GCUUAACACAUGCAAGUCGAGGGGCAGCAUUUUAGUUUGCUUGCAAACUGAGGAUGGCGACCGGCGCACGGGUGAGUAACACGUAUCCAACCUACCGAUAACUCCGGAAUAGCCUUUCGAAAGAAAGAUUAAUACCGGAUAGCAUACGAAUAUCGCAUGAUAUUUUUAUUAAAGAAUUUCGGUUAUCGAUGGGGAUGCGUUCCAUUAGUUUGUUGGCGGGGUAACGGCCCACCAAGACUACGAUGGAUAGGGGUUCUGAGAGGAAGGUCCCCCACAUUGGAACUGAGACACGGUCCAAACUCCUACGGGAGGCAGCAGUGAGGAAUAUUGGUCAAUGGGCGAGAGCCUGAACCAGCCAAGUAGCGUGAAGGAUGAAGGCUCUAUGGGUCGUAAACUUCUUUUAUAUGGGAAUAAAGUUUUCCACGUGUGGAAUUUUGUAUGUACCAUAUGAAUAAGGAUCGGCUAACUCCGUGCCAGCAGCCGCGGUAAUACGGAGGAUCCGAGCGUUAUCCGGAUUUAUUGGGUUUAAAGGGAGCGUAGGUGGAUUGUUAAGUCAGUUGUGAAAGGUUGCGGCUCAACCGUAAAAUUGCAGUUGAAACUGACAGUCUUGAGUACAGUAGAGGUGGGCGGAAUUCGUGGUGUAGCGGUGAAAUGCUUAGAUAUCACGAAGAACUCCGAUUGCGAAGGCAGCUCACUAGACUGUCACUGACACUGAUGCUCGAAAGUGUGGGUAUCAAACAGGAUUAGAUACCCUGGUAGUCCACACAGUAAACGAUGAAUACUCGCUGUUUGCGAUAUACAGUAAGCGGCCAAGCGAAAGCAUUAAGUAUUCCACCUGGGGAGUACGCCGGCAACGGUGAAACUCAAAGGAAUUGACGGGGGCCCGCACAAGCGGAGGAACAUGUGGUUUAAUUCGAUGAUACGCGAGGAACCUUACCCGGGCUUAAAUUGCAACAGAAUAUAUUGGAAACAGUAUAGCCGUAAGGCUGUUGUGAAGGUGCUGCAUGGUUGUCGUCAGCUCGUGCCGUGAGGUGUCGGCUUAAGUGCCAUAACGAGCGCAACCCCUAUCUUUAGUUACUAACAGGUUAUGCUGAGGACUCUAGAGAGACUGCCGUCGUAAGAUGUGAGGAAGGUGGGGAUGACGUCAAAUCAGCACGGCCCUUACGUCCGGGGCUACACACGUGUUACAAUGGGGGGUACAGAGGGCGGCUACCUGGUGACAGGAUGCUAAUCCCAAAAACCUCUCUCAGUUCGGAUCGAAGUCUGCAACCCGACUUCGUGAAGCUGGAUUCGCUAGUAAUCGCGCAUCAGCCAUGGCGCGGUGAAUACGUUCCCGGGCCUUGUACACACCGCCCGUCAAGCCAUGAAAGCCGGGGGUACCUGAAGUACGUAACCGCAAGGAGCGUCCUAGGGUAAAACUGGUAAUUGGGGCUAAG